rnacentral:rRNA from 1 species
UACGAAGGGUGCAAGCGUUACUCGGAAUUACUGGGCGUAAAGCGUGCGUAGGCGGUUCGUUAAGUCUGUCGUGAAAGCCCUGGGCUCAACCUGGGAAUUGCAUUGGAUACUGGCAGGCUAGAGUGCGGUAGAGGAUGGCGGAAUUCCCGGUGUAGCAGUGAAAUGCGUAGAUAUCGGGAGGAACACCAGUGGCGAAGGCGGUUCGCGUGGCCU